UGAGGAAUAUUGGGCAAUGCCCGCAAGGGUGACCCAGCAACGCCGCGUGGAGGAUGAAUGUCGUAAGAUUGUAAACUCCUGUUAGAGGGGAAGAAUAGUACCGGUUGGACCGGUAUAUGACUGUACCCUCAGAGAAAGCCCCGGCUAACUACGUGCCAGCAGCCGCGGUAAUACGUAGGGGGCAAGCGUUGUCCGGAUUUACUGGGCGUAAAGCGCGUGCAGGCGGAUUGGAGAGUUGGAUGUGAAAGCUCCCGGCUUAACUGGGAGAGGUCGUUCAAUACUUCCAGUCUUGGGUGCAGUAGAGGGAAGUGGAAUUCCGGGUGUAGUGGUGAAAUGCGUAGAUAUCCGGAGGAACACCAGUGGCGAAAGCGGCUUCCUGAACUGUAACUGACGCUCAGACGCGAAAGCUAGGGUAGCAAACG
rnacentral:rRNA from 1 species